GACUUUGUGGUGUAGUGGUUAGCACACUCGGCGCGUAUUCGAGAGGUCCGUGGUUCGAGUCCCGGCGAGGUCA
rnacentral:tRNA from 1 species